AAAUCUUUGGUUCAAAGUUUUGAUCAAGAAGGAUAUUGCUAGCAGUGAUAUUCCUGUGUAUGAUCUUUGGAUUACAGAUUUCAUGCAAAUAUGCCAAUCCUUUUGCAGAACCUAUAGCGAUUUUCAUUCUGGUUGGCCAAUUGAUAAUCAUUCUAUUCUGUCCGUGUAAAUUAUUUCGCAAGGAGUUGUUGGGAACAUACUCAUAUAUCAGCAAUCUAUUGGCUCUGUCAACACAGUAUCCAAUUAGCUUUACUAGAUGUUGGUGAUGGGCCAGGUUAAGCGUCCCAACCUCCGUUAGAAAUUCUCUUUCCCCC
rnacentral:misc_RNA from 1 species